rnacentral:rRNA from 1 species
AACGAACGCUGGCGGCAUGCCUAAUACAUGCAAGUCGAACGAGACCUUCGGGUCUAGUGGCGCACGGGUGCGUAACGCGUGGGAAUCUACCCUUGGGUUCGGAAUAACAUCGGGAAACUGAUGCUAAUACCGGAUGAUGACGUAAGUCCAAAGAUUUAUCGCCCAGGGAUGAGCCCGCGUAGGAUUAGCUAGUUGGUGAGGUAAAGGCUCACCAAGGCGACGAUCCUUAGCUGGUCUGAGAGGAUGAUCAGCCACACUGGGACUGAGACACGGCCCAGACUCCUACGAGAGGCAGCAGUAGGGAAUAUUGGACAAUGGGGGCAACCCUGAUCAAGCAAUGCCGCGUGAGUGAUGAAGGCCUUAGGGUUGUAAAGCUCUUUUACCCGGGAUGAUAAUGACGGUACCGGGAGAAUAAGCCCCGGCUAACUCCGUGCCAGCCGCCGCCGUAACAC